AAUGAAUUGCCUGAAAAAGGAUUACCUUGAUAGGGUAAAUUAUAUAAUUAAAAUUAUAUUCAUUA
rnacentral:tRNA from 1 species